GUUAUAUGGUCAAGUGAAGAAGCGCAUACGGUGGAUGCCUUGGCAGUCAGAGGCGAUGAAAGACGUGGUAGCCUGCGAAAAGCUUCGGGGAGUCGGCAAACAGACUUUGAUCCGGAGAUCUCUGAAUGGGGGAACCCACCUAGGAUAACCUAGGUAUCUUGUACUGAAUCCAUAGGUGCAAGAGGCGAACCAGGGGAACUGAAACAUCUAAGUACCCUGAGGAAAAGAAAUCAACCGAGAUUCCCUUAGUAGUGGCGAGCGAACGGGGAUUAGCCCUUAAGCUUCAUUGAUUUUAGCGGAACGCUCUGGAAAGUGCGGCCAUAGUGGGUGAUAGCCCCGUACGCGAAAGGAUCUUUGAAGUGAAAUCGAGUAGGACGGAGCACGAGAAACUUUGUCUGAACAUGGGGGGACCAUCCUCCAAGGCUAAAUACUACUGACUGACCGAUAGUGAACCAGUACCGUGAGGGAAAGGCGAAAAGAACCCCGGAGAGGGGAGUGAAAUAGAACCUGAAACCGUAUGCGUACAAGCAGUGGGAGCCUACUUGUUAGGUGACUGCGUACCUUUUGUAUAAUGGGUCAGCGACUUAUAUUCAGUGGCAAGCUUAACCGUAUAGGGUAGGCGUAGCGAAAGCGAGUCUUAAUAGGGCGUUUAGUCGCUGGGUAUAGACCCGAAACCGGGCGAUCUAUCCAUGAGCAGGUUGAAGGUUAGGUAACACUGACUGGAGGACCGAACCCACUCCCGUUGAAAAGGUAGGGGAUGACUUGUGGAUCGGAGUGAAAGGCUAAUCAAGCUCGGAGAUAGCUGGUUCUCCUCGAAAGCUAUUUAGGUAGCGCCUCAUGUAUCACUCUGGGGGGUAGAGCACUGUUUCGGCUAGGGGGUCAUCCCGACUUACCAAACCGAUGCAAACUCCGAAUACCCAGAAGUGCCGAGCAUGGGAGACACACGGCGGGUGCUAACGUCCGUCGUGAAAAGGGAAACAACCCAGACCGCCAGCUAAGGUCCCAAAGUUGUGGUUAAGUGGUAAACGAUGUGGGAAGGCUUAGACAGCUAGGAGGUUGGCUUAGAAGCAGCCAUCCUUUAAAGAAAGCGUAAUAGCUCACUAGUCGAGUCGGCCUGCGCGGAAGAUGUAACGGGGCUCAAACCACACACCGAAGCUGCGGGUGUCACGCAAGUGACGCGGUAGAGGAGCGUUCUGUAAGCCUGUGAAGGUGAGUUGAGAAGCUUGCUGGAGGUAUCAGAAGUGCGAAUGCUGACAUGAGUAACGACAAUGGGUGUGAAAAACACCCACGCCGAAAGACCAAGGGUUCCUGCGCAACGUUAAUCGACGCAGGGUUAGUCGGUUCCUAAGGCGAGGCUGAAAAGCGUAGUCGAUGGGAAACAGGUUAAUAUUCCUGUACUUCUGGUUACUGCGAUGGAGGGACGGAGAAGGCUAGGCCAGCUUGGCGUUGGUUGUCCAAGUUUAAGGUGGUAGGCUGAAAUCUUAGGUAAAUCCGGGGUUUCAAGGCCGAGAGCUGAUGACGAGUCGUCUUUUAGAUGACGAAGUGGUUGAUGCCAUGCUUCCAAGAAAAGCUUCUAAGCUUCAGGUAACCAGGAACCGUACCCCAAACCGACACAGGUGGUCGGGUAGAGAAUACCAAGGCGCUUGAGAGAACUCGGGUGAAGGAACUAGGCAAAAUGGCACCGUAACUUCGGGAGAAGGUGCGCCGGCUAGGGUGAAGGAUUUACUCCGUAAGCUCUGGCUGGUCGAAGAUACCAGGCCGCUGCGACUGUUUAUUAAAAACACAGCACUCUGCAAACACGAAAGUGGACGUAUAGGGUGUGACGCCUGCCCGGUGCCGGAAGGUUAAUUGAUGGGGUUAGCGCAAGCGAAGCUCUUGAUCGAAGCCCCGGUAAACGGCGGCCGUAACUAUAACGGUCCUAAGGUAGCGAAAUUCCUUGUCGGGUAAGUUCCGACCUGCACGAAUGGCGUAACGAUGGCGGCGCUGUCUCCACCCGAGACUCAGUGAAAUUGAAAUCGCUGUGAAGAUGCAGUGUAUCCGCGGCUAGACGGAAAGACCCCGUGAACCUUUACUGUAGCUUUGCACUGGACUUUGAGCCUGCUUGUGUAGGAUAGGUGGGAGGCUUUGAAGCGUGGACGCCAGUUCGCGUGGAGCCAUCCUUGAAAUACCACCCUGGCAUGCUUGAGGUUCUAACUCUGGUCCGU
rnacentral:rRNA from 1 species